rnacentral:rRNA from 1 species
UACGUAGGGGGCAAGCGUUGUCCGGAUUUAUUGGGCGUAAAGAGUGUGUAGGCGGCUAGGUAGGUCCGUUGUGAAAACUCGAGGCUCAACCUCGAGACGCCGGUGGAAACCAUCUAGCUAGAGUCCGGAAGAGGAGAGUGGAAUUCCUGGUGUAGCGGUGAAAUGCGCAGAUAUCAGGAAGAACACCCGUGGCGAAGGCGGCUCUCUGGUACGUGACUGACGCUGAGACGCGAAAGCGUGGGGAGCGAACAGG